GACGAACGCUGGCGGCGUGCUUAACACAUGCAAGUCGAACGAAGAGCGAUGGAAGCUUGCUUCUAUCAAUCUUAGUGGCGAACGGGUGAGUAACGCGUAAUCAACCUGCCCUUCAGAGGGGGACAACAGUUGGAAACGACUGCUAAUACCGCAUACGCUCUAAUCUCGGCAUCGAGGAUAGAUGAAAGGUGGCCUCUACAUGUAAGCUAUCACUGAAGGAGGGGAUUGCGUCUGAUUAGCUAGUUGGAGGGGUAACGGCCCACCAAGGCGAUGAUCAGUAGCCGGUCGGAGAGGAUGAACGGCCACAUUGGGACUGAGACACGGCCCAGACUCCUACGGGAGGCAGCAGUGGGGAAUCUUCCGCAAGGGACGAAAGUCUGACGGAGCAACGCCGCGUGAGUGAUGACGGCCUUCGGGUUGGAAAGCUCUGUUAAUCGGGACGAAAGGCCUUCUUGCGAAUAGUGAGAAGGAUUGACGGUACCGGAAUAGAAAGCCACGGCUAACUACGUG
rnacentral:rRNA from 1 species